rnacentral:rRNA from 1 species
UCUGGUGAUUUGUCCUGGGGGAUACACCCGAUCCCAUUCCGAACUCGGAAGUUAAGCUCCGGAGAGGCGAUGAUACUCUGCACAACAGGGGAAAGUAGCUCGUCGCCAGAU